AUUGAACGCUGGCGGCAGGCCUAACACAUGCCAGUCGAGCGGAUGAAGGGAGCUUGCUCCUGGAUGCAGCGGCGGACGGGUGAGUAAUGCCUAGGAAUCUGCCUGGUAGUGGGGGAUAACGUCCGGAAACGGGCGCUAAUACCGCAUACGUCCUGAGGGAGAAAGUGGGGGAUCUUCGGACCUCACGCUAUCAGAUGAGCCUAGGUCGGAUUAGCUAGUUGGUGGGGUAAAGGCCUACCAAGGCGACGAUCCGUAACUGGUCUGAGAGGAUGAUCAGUCACACUGGAACUGAGACACGGUCCAGACUCCUACGGGAGGCAGCAGUGGGGAAUAUUGGACAAUGGGCGAAAGCCUGAUCCAGCCAUGCCGCGUGUGUGAAGAAGGUCUUCGGAUUGUAAAGCACUUUAAGUUGGGAGGAAGGGCAGUAAGUUAAUACCUUGCUGUUUUGACGUUACCAACAGAAUAAGCACCGGCUAACUUCGUG
rnacentral:rRNA from 1 species